GCCGCGAAUUCGCCCUUAGAGUUUGAUCAUGGCUCAGAUUGAACGCUGGCGGCAGGCCUAACACAUGCAAGUCGAGCGGUAACAGGAGAAAGCUUGCUUUCUUGCUGACGAGCGGCGGACGGGUGAGUAAUGUAUGGGGAUCUGCCCGAUAGAGGGGGAUAACUACUGGAAACGGUGGCUAAUACCGCAUAAUGUCUACGGACCAAAGCAGGGGCUCUUCGGACCUUGCACUAUCGGAUGAACCCAUAUGGGAUUAGCUAGUAGGUGGGGUAAAGGCUCACCUAGGCGACGAUCUCUAGCUGGUCUGAGAGGAUGAUCAGCCACACUGGGACUGAGACACGGCCCAGACUCCUACGGGAGGCAGCAGUGGGGAAUAUUGCACAAUGGGCGCAAGCCUGAUGCAGCCAUGCCGCGUGUAUGAAGAAGGCCUUAGGGUUGUAAAGUACUUUCAGCGGGGAGGAAGGUGAUAAGGUUAAUACCCUUGUC
rnacentral:rRNA from 1 species